AUUGAACGCUGGCGGCAUGCCUUACACAUGCAAGUCGAACGGUAACGGGCCUUCGGGUGCCGACGAGUGGCGCACGGGUGAGUAAUACAUCGGAACGUGCCCGAUCGUGGGGGAUAACGAGGCGAAAGCUUUGCUAAUACCGCAUACGAUCUACGGAUGAAAGCAGGGGACCGCAAGGCCUUGCGCGGACGGAGCGGCCGAUGGCCGAUUAGGUAGGUGGUGGGAUAAAAGCUUACCAAGCCGACGAUCUGUAGCUGGUCUGAGAGGAUGAUCAGCCACACUGGGACUGAGACACGGCCCAGACUCCUACGGGAGGCAGCAGUGGGGAAUGUUGGACAAUGGGCGCAAGCCUGAUCCAGCCAUGCCGCGUGCAGGAUGAAGGCCUUCGGGUUGUAAACUGCUUUUGUACGGAACGAAAAGCCUUCUUUUAAUACAGGAGGGUCAUGACGGUACCGUAAGAAUAAGCACCGGCUAACUACGUG
rnacentral:rRNA from 1 species